rnacentral:rRNA from 1 species
CCUACGGGCGGCAGCAGUGAGGAAUAUUGGUCAAUGGGCGGGAGCCUGAACCAGCCAAGCCGCGUGAGGGAAGAAGGUACAGCGUAUCGUAAACCUCUUUUGUCAGGGAACACAGGCGGGGACUAGUCCCCGGAUGAGGGUACCUGACGAACAAGCAUCGGCUAACUCCGUGCCAGCAGCCGCGGUAAUACGGGGGCUGCGAGCGUUAUCCGGAUUUAUUGGGUUAAAAGGGUGCGCAGGCGGCCUGUUAAGUCAGCGGUAAAAGCCCGGGGCCAAACCCCGGCGAGCCGCUGAAACUGGCGGGCUGGAGUUGGGGAGAAGUACGCGGAAUGCGCGGUGUAGCGGUGAAAUGCUUAGAUAUCGCGCAGAACCCCGAUUGCGAAGGCAGCGUACCGGAUCCAGACUGACGCUGAGGCACGAAAGCGUGGGUAUCGAACAGGAUUAGAUACCCUGGUAGUC